GUGCUAAUCCCUCCGUCCCAAAAUUCUUGUCUUAGAUUUGUCUAAAUACGGAUGUAUCAAGUCACGUUUUAGUAUUAGAUACAUCCGUAUCUAGACAAAUCUAAGACAAGAAUUUUUGGACGGAGGGAGUACAAC
rnacentral:pre_miRNA from 1 species